GCAGCAGUGAGGAAUAUUGUCAUGCGGCGAUAGCCUGAACCACCCGAAGUAGCGUGAGGGAUGAAGUCUCUCUGGGUCGUAAGCUUCUGUUAUAUACGAUCAAAGUGCAGUAUGUAUACUGUAUNGCAUGUAUCAUAUGAAUAGGGUUCGGCUAACUCCGUGCCAGCAGCCGCGGUAAUACGGAGGAUCCGAGCGUUAUCCGGAUUUAUUGGGUUUAAAGGGAGCGUAGAUGGACUGGUAAGUCAGUUGUGAAAGUAUGCGGCUCAACCGUAAAAUUGCAGUUGAUACUGUCAGUCUUGAGUACAGUAGAGGUGGGCGGAAUUCGUGGUGUAGCGGUGAAAUGCUUAGAUAUCACGAAGAACUCCGAUUGCGAAGGCAGCUCACUGGACUGCAACUGACACUGAUGCUCGAAAGUGUGGGUAUCAAACAGGAUUAGAUACCCUGGUAGUCCACACAGUAAACGAUGAAUACUCGCUGUUUGCGAUAUACAGUAAGCGGCCAAGCGAAAGCAUUAAGUAUUCCACCUGGGGAGUACGCCGGCAACGGUGAAACUCAAAGGAAUUGACGGGGGCCCGCACAAGCGGAGGAACAUGUGGUUUAAUUCGAUGAUACGCGAGGAACCUUACCCGGGCUUAAAUUGCAGUGGAAUGAUGUGGAAACAUGUCAGUGAGCAAUCACCGCUGUGAAGGUGCUGCAUGGUUGUCGUCAGCUCGUGCCGUGAGGUGUCGGCUUAAGUGCCAUAACGAGCGCAACCCUUAUCUUCAGUUACUAACAGGUCAUGCUGAGGACUCUGGAGAGACUGCCGUCGUAAGAUGUGAGGAAGGUGGGGAUGACGUCAAAUCAGCACGGCCCUUACGUCCGGGGCUACACACGUGUUACAAUGGGGGGUACAGAAGGCAGCUAGCGGGUGACCGUAUGCUAAUCCCAAAAUCCUCUCUCAGUUCGGAUCGAAGUCUGCAACCCGACUUCGUGAAGCUGGAUUCGCUAGUAAUCGCGCAUCAGCCACGGCGCGGUGAAUACGUUCCCGGGCCUUGUACACACCGCCCGUCAAGCCAUGGGAGCCGGGGGUACCUGAAGUACGUAACCGCAAGGAUCGUCCUAGGGUAAAACUGGUGACUGGGGCUAAGUCGUAACAAGGUAGCCGUACCGGAAGGUGCGGCUG
rnacentral:rRNA from 1 species